AUUGAACGCUGGCGGCAGGCCUAACACAUGCAAGUCGAGCGUGAAAGUCCUUCGGGAUGAGUAAAGCGGCGGACGGGUGAGUAACGCGUAGGAAUCUACCUAGUAGUGGGGGAUAACGUUCCGAAAGGAACGCUAAUACCGCAUACGUUCUAAGGAAGAAAGCAGGGGCUCGUAAGACCUUGCGCUAUUAGAUGAGCCUGCGUCCGAUUAGCUAGUUGGUGGGGUAAAGGCCUACCAAGGCGACGAUCGGUAACUGGUCUGAGAGGAUGAUCAGUCACACUGGAACUGAGACACGGUCCAGACUCCUACGGGAGGCAGCAGUGGGGAAUAUUGGACAAUGGGGGCAACCCUGAUCCAGCCAUGCCGCGUGUGUGAAGAAGG
rnacentral:rRNA from 1 species